AGGAAAAACAUUGAUGUAUGGAGAUUAAGGGAGAUAAGAGGUAUGUGGUAACAUGAGUGAUGGAAGCAGCCUGAAUAAGAAAAAUAUAUACAAAUUGUAUGUGUGUGUGUGCGCAUGUGCAUGACCCUGUACGUGCCUCUGUGUGGGAUUUGGAGAAAAACAGGGAGAGAGCUUGAGAGACAAUCCCAGAGAGACUGUGUGUUGAACCCGCUGCCCCCUAAUACCCCUACCUGCUCCCUGCAUGCUUUGCCAUGGUUACGAGACAGGGCUCCCAGUUAAUGUGUUUUUCAGCAGGGGUGAGCUGGGUACUAAUGUGUCUCAGUCUGUCUCCUCAGCAAAUGGCACAAUCAAUAUCAACUGUCCCAGGAUGCACCACCACUAGCAGAGGGCCAGGAAAACCACCAAGCUCCCUGCAAGGCUGAAUAAUGUAAGCCUGGGAAAACGCUUGGGCUUCUUCUGGAUGAUCUGGACAUGCUACAACACCAAAAGAUGAAUUACCGCCACCAACUGGACGACGUUGAAAAAAACAAGUCUGUCUCCUCAGCAAAUGGCACAAUCAAUAUCAACUGUCCCAGGAUGCACCACCACUAGCAGAGGGCCAGGAAAACCACCAAGCUCCCUGCAAGGCUGAAUAAUGUAAGCCUGGGAAAACGCUUGGGCUUCUUCUGGAUGAUCUGGACAUGCUACAACACCAAAAGAUGAAUUACCGCCACCAACUGGACGACGUUGAAAAAAACAAGGUAAAAAUAAAACAUGAUAGGGAAAACAAAUCCACCCAAAAUAAAACAAUAAAAACCACAUUGACAAAACCAAAACCCCCAAACACCCACUUCUUCUAUCCUUCAAAUCCCCAUAUCUCCCUUCUUCUGACUAUCCUAGUUAAAUAAAGGUUAAAUAAUGUAUUCAUGUUUAAUUCUCACCUGAGAGGCUUGUGACAAUACUCCAUGCAACUCCUCUGCCAAGAAGUCUUUCAGUCCCAGGAAACAUUCCGUCGCAUCCACAACAAUGUCUAUUUUCCAGGACUUCCUCUCCACCUUGGCAGUGCCAUUAAUCACCAUAGCUAUAAAGGCCACAAAGUCCACCUUCUGUACCUUUAACAUAUCUGGGUUCUGCCAUUGAACGGUAACCCCUGCAGCCUUCAGUGAAUGCCUAUCCACCACCAUGGACUACUCAGGAGCAGCAUUUGAACCCUCAACCCUUUUAAAUGCCCUAAGUGGGUGGGUCGCGAACAGGUGUCACUGGCGUGAAAAGCAAGCCCCCCACGCAUCACGCCAAUAGGGUUAACCCACUUGGUGGGAAUUGCAAGGUGGCUCAUUAGGGAGGAUCACUACAGUAUAGCUGAGAACUUUUACAGCUUCUGUAUAAAAUAAUAUGGCAUAGUGAAAAUAUACAGUAUAUCAAGCACUACUUUUGUUAUUUUCGCACAACUUGAUUUGCUACCCCUUUAUUUUCGCUACCUCUAUAUUUUGUUCUCAUGUCUCCAUAGACAGGAAAAAGAUUGAUGUAUGGAGAUUAAGGGAGAUAAGAGGUAUGUGGUAACAUGAGUGAUGGAAGCAGCCUGAAUAAGAAAAAUAUAUACAAAUUGUAUGUGCGUGUGUGCGCAUGUGCAUGACCCUGUACGUGCCUCUGUGUGGGAUUUGGAGAAAAACAGGGAGAGAGCUUGAGAGACAAUCCCAGAGAGACUGUGUGUUGAACCCGCUGCCCCCUAAUACCCCUACCUGCUCCCUGCAUGCUUUGCCAUGGUUACGAGACAGGGCUCCCAGUUAAUGUGUUUUUCAGCAGGGGUGAGCUGGGUACUAAUGUGUCUCAGUCUGUCUCCUCAGCAAAUGGCACAAUCAAUAUCAACUGUCCCAGGAUGCACCACCACUAGCAGAGGGCCAGGAAAACCACCAAGCUCCCUGCAAGGCUGAAUAAUGUAAGCCUGGGAAAACGCUUGGGCUUCUUCUGGAUGAUCUGGACAUGCUACAACACCAAAAGAUGAAUUACCGCCACCAACUGGACGACGUUGAAAAAAACAAGGUAAAAAUAAAACAUGAUAGGGAAAACAAAUCCACCCAAAAUAAAACAAUAAAAACCACAUUGACAAAACCAAAACCCCCAAACACCCACUUCUUCUAUCCUUCAAAUCCCCAUAUCUCCCUUCUUCUGACUAUCCUAGUUAAAUAAAGGUUAAAUAAUGUAUUCAUGUUUAAUUCUCACCUGAGAGGCUUGUGACAGUACUCCAUGCAACUCCUCUGCCAAGAAGUCUUUCAGUCCCAGGAAACAUUCCGUCGCAUCCACAACAAUGUCUAUUUUCCAGGACUUCCUCUCCACCUUGGCAGUGCCAUUAAUCACCAUAGCUAUAAAGGCCACAAAGUCCACCUUCUGUACCUUUAACAUAUCUGGGUUCUGCCAUUGAACGGUAACCCCUGCAGCCUUCAGUGAAUGCCUAUCCACCACCAUGGACUACUCAGGAGCAGCAUUUGAACCCUCAACCCUUUUAAAUGCCCUAAGUGGGUGGGUCGCGAACAGGUGUCACUGGCGUGAAAAGCAAGCCCCCCACGCAUCACGCCAAUAGGGUUAACCCACUUGGUGGGAAUUGCAAGGUGGCUCAUUAGGGAGGAUCACUACAGUAUAGCUGAGAACUUUUACAGCUUCUGUAUAAAAUAAUAUGGCAUAGUGAAAAUAUACAGUAUAUCAAGCACUACUUUUGUUAUUUUCGCACAACUUGAUUUGCUACCCCUUUAUUUUCGCUACCUCUAUAUUUUGUUCUCAUGUCUCCAUAGACAGGAAAAAGAUUGAUGUAUGGAGAUUAAGGGAGAUAAGAGGUAUGUGGUAACAUGAGUGAUGGAAGCAGCCUGAAUAAGAAAAAUAUAUACAAAUUGUAUGUGCGUGUGUGCGCAUGUGCAUGACCCUGUACGUGCCUCUGUGUGGGAUUUGGAGAAAAACAGGGAGAGAGCUUGAGAGACAAUCCCAGAGAGACUGUGUGUUGAACCCGCUGCCCCCUAAUACCCCUACCUGCUCCCUGCAUGCUUUGCCAUGGUUACGAGACAGGGCUCCCAGUUAAUGUGUUUUUCAGCAGGGGUGAGCUGGGUACUAAUGUGUCUCAGUCUGUCUCCUCAGCAAAUGGCACAAUCAAUAUCAACUGUCCCAGGAUGCACCACCACUAGCAGAGGGCCAGGAAAACCACCAAGCUCCCUGCAAGGCUGAAUAAUGUAAGCCUGGGAAAACGCUUGGGCUUCUUCUGGAUGAUCUGGACAUGCUACAACACCAAAAGAUGAAUUACCGCCACCAACUGGACGACGUUGAAAAAAACAAGGUAAAAAUAAAACAUGAUAGGGAAAACAAAUCCACCCAAAAUAAAACAAUAAAAACCACAUUGACAAAACCAAAACCCCCAAACACCCACUUCUUCUAUCCUUCAAAUCCCCAUAUCUCCCUUCUUCUGACUAUCCUAGUUAAAUAAAGGUUAAAUAAUGUAUUCAUGUUUAAUUCUCACCUGAGAGGCUUGUGACAAUACUCCAUGCAACUCCUCUGCCAAGAAGUCUUUCAGUCCCAGGAAACAUUCCGUCGCAUCCACAACAAUGUCUAUUUUCCAGGACUUCCUCUCCACCUUGGCAGUGCCAUUAAUCACCAUAGCUAUAAAGGCCACAAAGUCCACCUUCUGUACCUUUAACAUAUCUGGGUUCUGCCAUUGAACGGUAACCCCUGCAGCCUUCAGUGAAUGCCUAUCCACCACCAUGGACUACUCAGGAGCAGCAUUUGAACCCUCAACCCUUUUAAAUGCCCUAAGUGGGUGGGUCGCGAACAGGUGUCACUGGCGUGAAAAGCAAGCCCCCCACGCAUCACGCCAAUAGGGUUAACCCACUUGGUGGGAAUUGCAAGGUGGCUCAUUAGGGAGGAUCACUACAGUAUAGCUGAGAACUUUUACAGCUUCUGUAUAAAAUAAUAUGGCAUAGUGAAAAUAUACAGUAUAUCAAGCACUACUUUUGUUAUUUUCGCACAACUUGAUUUGCUACCCCUUUAUUUUCGCUACCUCUAUAUUUUGUUCUCAUGUCUCCAUAGACAGGAAAAAGAUUGAUGUAUGGAGAUUAAGGGAGAUAAGAGGUAUGUGGUAACAUGAGUGAUGGAAGCAGCCUGAAUAAGAAAAAUAUAUACAAAUUGUAUGUGCGUGUGUGCGCAUGUGCAUGACCCUGUACGUGCCUCUGUGUGGGAUUUGGAGAAAAACAGGGAGAGAGCUUGAGAGACAAUCCCAGAGAGACUGUGUGUUGAACCCGCUGCCCCCUAAUACCCCUACCUGCUCCCUGCAUGCUUUGCCAUGGUUACGAGACAGGGCUCCCAGUUAAUGUGUUUUUCAGCAGGGGUGAGCUGGGUACUAAUGUGUCUCAGUCUGUCUCCUCAGCAAAUGGCACAAUCAAUAUCAACUGUCCCAGGAUGCACCACCACUAGCAGAGGGCCAGGAAAACCACCAAGCUCCCUGCAAGGCUGAAUAAUGUAAGCCUGGGAAAACGCUUGGGCUUCUUCUGGAUGAUCUGGACAUGCUACAACACCAAAAGAUGAAUUACCGCCACCAACUGGACGACGUUGAAAAAAACAAGGUAAAAAUAAAACAUGAUAGGGAAAACAAAUCCACCCAAAAUAAAACAAUAAAAACCACAUUGACAAAACCAAAACCCCCAAACACCCACUUCUUCUAUCCUUCAAAUCCCCAUAUCUCCCUUCUUCUGACUAUCCUAGUUAAAUAAAGGUUAAAUAAUGUAUUCAUGUUUAAUUCUCACCUGAGAGGCUUGUGACAAUACUCCAUGCAACUCCUCUGCCAAGAAGUCUUUCAGUCCCAGGAAACAUUCCGUCGCAUCCACAACAAUGUCUAUUUUCCAGGACUUCCUCUCCACCUUGGCAGUGCCAUUAAUCACCAUAGCUAUAAAGGCCACAAAGUCCACCUUCUGUACCUUUAACAUAUCUGGGUUCUGCCAUUGAACGGUAACCCCUGCAGCCUUCAGUGAAUGCCUAUCCACCACCAUGGACUACUCAGGAGCAGCAUUUGAACCCUCAACCCUUUUAAAUGCCCUAAGUGGGUGAGUCGCGAACAGGUGUCACUGGCGUGAAAAGCAAGCCCCCCACGCAUCACGCCAAUAGGGUUAACCCACUUGGUGGGAAUUGCAAGGUGGCUCAUUAGGGAGGAUCACUACAGUAUAGCUGAGAACUUUUACAGCUUCUGUAUAAAAUAAUAUGGCAUAGUGAAAAUAUACAGUAUAUCAAGCACUACUUUUGUUAUUUUCGCACAACUUGAUUUGCUACCCCUUUAUUUUCGCUACCUCUAUAUUUUGUUCUCAUGUCUCCAUAGACAGGAAAAAGAUUGAUGUAUGGAGAUUAAGGGAGAUAAGAGGUAUGUGGUAACAUGAGUGAUGGAAGCAGCCUGAAUAAGAAAAAUAUAUACAAAUUGUAUGUGCGUGUGUGCGCAUGUGCAUGACCCUGUACGUGCCUCUGUGUGGGAUUUGGAGAAAAACAGGGAGAGAGCUUGAGAGACAAUCCCAGAGAGACUGUGUGUUGAACCCGCUGCCCCCUAAUACCCCUACCUGCUCCCUGCAUGCUUUGCCAUGGUUACGAGACAGGGCUCCCAGUUAAUGUGUUUUUCAGCAGGGGUGAGCUGGGUACUAAUGUGUCUCAGUCUGUCUCCUCAGCAAAUGGCACAAUCAAUAUCAACUGUCCCAGGAUGCACCACCACUAGCAGAGGGCCAGGAAAACCACCAAGCUCCCUGCAAGGCUGAAUAAUGUAAGCCUGGGAAAACGCUUGGGCUUCUUCUGGAUGAUCUGGACAUGCUACAACACCAAAAGAUGAAUUACCGCCACCAACUGGACGACGUUGAAAAAAACAAGACAGGAAAAAGAUUGAUGUAUGGAGAUUAAGGGAGAUAAGAGGUAUGUGGUAACAUGAGUGAUGGAAGCAGCCUGAAUAAGAAAAAUAUAUACAAAUUGUAUGUGUGUGUGUGCGCAUGUGCAUGACCCUGUACGUGCCUCUGUGUGGGAUUUGGAGAAAAACAGGGAGAGAGCUUGAGAGACAAUCCCAGAGAGACUGUGUGUUGAACCCGCUGCCCCCUAAUACCCCUCCCUACCUGCUCCCUGCAUGCUUUGCCAUGGUUACGAGACAGGGCUCCCAGUUAAUGUGUUUUUCAGCAGGGGUGAGCUGGGUACUAAUGUGUCUCAGUCUGUCUCCUCAGCAAAUGGCACAAUCAAUAUCAACUGUCCCAGGAUGCACCACCACUAGCAGAGGGCCAGGAAAACCACCAAGCUCCCUGCAAGGCUGAAUAAUGUAAGCCUGGGAAAACGCUUGGGCUUCUUCUGGAUGAUCUGGACAUGCUACAACACCAAAAGAUGAAUUACCGCCACCAACUGGACGACGUUGAAAAAAACAAGACAGGAAAAAGAUUGAUGUAUGGAGAUUAAGGGAGAUAAGAGGUAUGUGGUAACAUGAGUGAUGGAAGCAGCCUGAAUAAGAAAAAUAUAUACAAAUUGUAUGUGUGUGUGUGCGCAUGUGCAUGACCCUGUACGUGCCUCUGUGUGGGAUUUGGAGAAAAACAGGGAGAGAGCUUGAGAGACAAUCCCAGAGAGACUGUGUGUUGAACCCGCUGCCCCCUAAUACCCCUCCCUACCUGCUCCCUGCAUGCUUUGCCAUGGUUACGAGACAGGGCUCCCAGUUAAUGUGUUUUUCAGCAGGGGUGAGCUGGGUACUAAUGUGUCUCAGUCUGUCUCCUCAGCAAAUGGCACAAUCAAUAUCAACUGUCCCAGGAUGCACCACCACUAGCAGAGGGCCAGGAAAACCACCAAGCUCCCUGCAAGGCUGAAUAAUGUAAGCCUGGGAAAACGCUUGGGCUUCUUCUGGAUGAUCUGGACAUGCUACAACACCAAAAGAUGAAUUACCGCCACCAACUGGACGACGUUGAAAAAAACAAGACAGGAAAAAGAUUGAUGUAUGGAGAUUAAGGGAGAUAAGAGGUAUGUGGUAACAUGAGUGAUGGAAGCAGCCUGAAUAAGAAAAAUAUAUACAAAUUGUAUGUGUGUGUGUGCGCAUGUGCAUGACCCUGUACGUGCCUCUGUGUGGGAUUUGGAGAAAAACAGGGAGAGAGCUUGAGAGACAAUCCCAGAGAGACUGUGUGUUGAACCCGCUGCCCCCUAAUACCCCUACCUGCUCCCUGCAUGCUUUGCCAUGGUUACGAGACAGGGCUCCCAGUUAAUGUGUUUUUCAGCAGGGGUGAGCUGGGUACUAAUGUGUCUCAGUCUGUCUCCUCAGCAAAUGGCACAAUCAAUAUCAACUGUCCCAGGAUGCACCACCACUAGCAGAGGGCCAGGAAAACCACCAAGCUCCCUGCAAGGCUGAAUAAUGUAAGCCUGGGAAAACGCUUGGGCUUCUUCUGGAUGAUCUGGACAUGCUACAACACCAAAAGAUGAAUUACCGCCACCAACUGGAGGACGUUGAAAAAAACAAGGUAAAAAUAAAACAUGAUAGGGAAAACAAAUCCACCCAAAAUAAAACAAUAAAAACCACAUUGACAAAACCAAAACCCCCAAACACCCACUUCUUCUAUCCUUCAAAUCCCCAUAUCUCCCUUCUUCUGACUAUCCUAGUUAAAUAAAGGUUAAAUAAUGUAUUCAUGUUUAAUUCUCACC